UUGGUCUAUGUUCAAUACUAGAGAGGGACAUCCCCGUUUGUGAAACUGCUCUGACAAACGCCAUAUUUGCCGUCAAAGUCGGAGCACGAUAAUAGUCACCAGUGCCAAAGACAACUUUGUUUUUUAAUGCCAACUUCCUAGUUGUUGGGAGGCCCAUCAUUCGUUCUGAAGGAGUAUCGGAAACAACCCUGUGACAAUUUAUUAACUUGUCAGCUCUAAGUUUCUCAUUGGGCCCUCCACACAUUAGUACCAACUCCUUAAAUUCUGAAAGAACACUCUCACAAAUUAUGCCAAGCUUCCCACAUAGGACUUUACCAAACUCCACAUGGAUUGGAUUUUGAAGUUCAGACAUUAUCUAGCACAAAAAUUGAGGAAAGCUUUUGUCAAUUCACUUGAUGCUGAUAAAAACCAGAAUAGUGUGUAA
rnacentral:lncRNA from 1 species